GACGAACGCUGGCGGCGUGCUUAACACAUGCAAGUCGAGCGGUAAGGCCCUUUCGGGGGUACACGAGCGGCGAACGGGUGAGUAACACGUGGGUGACCUGCCCUCAGCUCUGGGAUAAGCCUGGGAAACCGGGUCUAAUACUGGAUAUGACUCCAUGACGCAUGUUGUGGGGUGGAAAGCCUUGUGCGGCUGAGGAUGGGCCCGCGGCCUAUCAGCUUGUUGGUGGGGUGANGGCCUACCAAGGCGACGACGGGUAGCCGGCCUGAGAGGGCGACCGGCCACACUGGGACUGAGACACGGCCCAGGACUCCUACGGGAGGGCAGCAGUGGGGAAUCUUGCGCAAUGGGCGAAAGCCUGACGCAGCGACGCCGCGUGAGGGAUGACGGCC
rnacentral:rRNA from 1 species